GGGUGUUUGUGUUCUAUCACAGGCAUAGUUUGAAGGAAGUUUUGGACACCCCAGGUGUGAUGUCACUGAUAAAAGAUACAAAAGCGGCACAGGAGGUGCAAGCUUUGAAAGAGUUCUUCGCUAUGCUUACUAAUGUAAGC